AAUGUGUAGGCUUCUUCAGAAAUUUUUUAAAUAAUCAGGAAGCCUCAAAUCAAAGGAAUGAAAACCACUCUUUGUGGAAUUUCAGGGAAAGGGUGUGUGAUAUUUGAGGGUUAUAAAGAAUGGCAAUGCUGGUUUUUAGAAAAGCCACCGGGAACACACAUUCUACAGAAUGUCACUCAACUGUCCCCAUAACUGGCUCAUCGCAGCGUCAUUCCUGUGUGCCCCCGGCCGGGAUGAUGAAUGAAAUUCCCAUCUCAUCAGAACUGCCACCACUUCUUGCCUUUUUUCCCCUCUUUUGACAAUAAUACAGGUGGCUGUACGGAUGGUGCGGGAUACACUGUGCUUUCAUAGCUUACCGUAGCCGGCUUGAGAUUCCCUCGACAUAAACAUCAGAAUGCCCUUAAGCCACUCUCAUUGUGCAAUACAGCUGAGUUAGAAACGUGGUCCUGCUCUCUGAACAAUUCCUGGAAGAGACAAAAAAAAAAAAAAAAAGGCAAAUAUAUUUGCAGAAUGUUGACUUCAUUCAGAAUGUGCGUUAAAUAAAUAAUGCACUAAGGGUUUUGGAGACGGUAACUAAGACAGACGCAAAUGCAUAUUUUUCUCCAGAUAACAAAAUCUUCCAAAGAUGCCUGGUGCUCAGCACGGAGGAUGUGCACAGCGGUGUAGAGGCUCCGGCCCUGUGAUGGUCUCCAUUCUGGGCUCGCCUGGCCCCAGCUUCCCUGCUGAGGUGCUGAAAAGGGAGCUCCGAUGUCCAAGCUUGAAUGUUUCAGGAUGAGAUGCUGUGCAGGUAGAUUGCUACAGCUUAUGCACAAUCCUCUCAAAGAAGAACAAGAUACUCAGUGAUAGUGACCCCCCAAACACACAACAAUGUGCACGGAUCUCCUAUGCAGUAAGGAAGCACUUGAAAUGUGUGGUAGUUGUUUUGCAACAAUUACUGACAUCUGGCAACUAGGGAUCUGUUAAGGACUCAACGAGAUGUAAACGUAGCUGUAAGAAUGGGCAAGCAUUACGAAACUUCUUGUUCCUGUACUGUUUCCGCUGGCAUCUUUCCAUCGAUUGCAUCCCUUGUGACACCUAUGAAAUGUUCCACACGAGAGCUAACUUCCACAGAAAAUCAGAAGUAGCUUCUAGAACCUGUGAGGCUGCCCGGCCCCACCCCCCUCCCCGGGCAGAGUCUCCACUCUCCACUCUGGAUGCGGCCCGAGCUACCCUGUACCCCAGCUCCCCAGGGACUUCUCCCCUCUGUGAUGCCCCUCUCUGGCCCUCCCCCUUUCAUUCGUCUCCAACUCUCCUAAAACCCUCUGCAUCUUCAGCUUUGCUCCUCAGCCUAGGUGGUCACUUACUCCACUGCUGCAGCAUCUUUCCCGGAGACAGCUGAAGACAGGCUCUGGGUCCACUGAACAAUGAUGAGAGAAGAAAGGUACGUUUGCCCUUCAGCCCCCAGGCCUAGCAUCCAGGAGAAGAGUCUGACUUUUCACACCACUCCAAGGGUGUGACCCCAACGCAUGUAGCUAGAAGAGAGAUCCCCUUCCUUCCAUGUAAGUUUCAUAAACAAGUCCCUGAAGCCUCUCCUACCUUGUAGUAUUCGGAGCCCUGAUACUGGGUUCAGUCACAUGCACGUGUGAUGCCAAACACAUAUUACCUCCCACCAUAGCAAACACAGAUUAAUUGGAGCCCUCGCAUGUCUGAUCAUUUUUUCUAAAAGUAGAGGUCGCGGACUGACGCUGAGAAGUGGCCGGAAAUGUCUAAUAGGAGACCAGUUUAGUAAGAAGAUAGGUAGUUCUAUAGAGGUCCUCCACUGGUAGGCAAAUCAGCCAAACACUAUAACAACUGAGAUUUGUGGGGCACCUGGGUGGCUCAGUCAGUCAAGCGUCCGACUUUGGCUCAGGUCACGAUCUCGCGGUUGGUGAGUUCGAGCACCAUGUCGGGCUCUGUGCUGACA